AUCUACGGUCAUAGAAUCCACAAAGCACCGCGUCCCGUCAGCUCCGCGUAGUUAAGUUGGAUAUCGCCCGGUUAGUACCAAGGUGGGGGACCACUUGGGAAUCCCGGGUGCUGUAGUUU
rfam:Cryptococcus dejecticola CBS 10117 unplaced genomic scaffold supercont1.3, whole genome shotgun sequence.